CACGUAGGGGGCAAGCGUUGUCCGGAUUUAUUGGGCGUAAAGAGCUCGUAGGCGGUUCGGUAAGUCGGGUGUGAAACCUCCAGGCUCAACCUGGAGAUGCCACCUGAUACUGCUGUGGCUCGAGUCCGGUAGGGGAGCGUGGAAUUCCUGGUGUAGCGGUGAAAUGCGCAGAUAUCAGGAGGAACACCAGCGGCGAAGGCGGCGCUCUGGGCCGGAACUGACGCUGAGGAGCGAAAGCGUGGGUAGCAAACAGG
rnacentral:rRNA from 1 species